rnacentral:rRNA from 1 species
GGCCCGGUGGCAGCCGCCGCGGUAAGACCGGCGGCCCGAGUGGCGGCACUCUUAUUGGGCCUAAAGCGUCCGUAGCUGGCUCAGUAAGUCCCCCGGGAAAUCUGGUCGCUUAACGAUCAGACUUCCGGGGGAUACUGCUGAGCUAGGGACCGGGAGAGGCCGAGGGUAUUCCCGGGGUAGGGGUGAAAUCCUGUAAUCCCGGGAGGACCACCUGUGGCGAAGGCGCUCGGCUGGAACGGGUCCGACGGUGAGGGACGAAGGCCUGGGGAGCGAACCGGAUUAGAUACCCGGGUAGUCCAGGCUGUAAACGAUGCGGGCUAGGUGUCACCGGAGCUACGAGCUCCGGUGGUGCCGGAGGGAAGCCGUUAAGCCCGCCGCCUGGGAAGUACGGCCGCAAGGCUGAAACUUAAAGGAAUUGGCGGGGGAGCACUACAACGGGUGGAGCCUGCGGUUUAAUUGGAUUCAACGCCGGGAAGCUUACCGGGGGAGACAGCGGGAUGAAGGUCGGGCUGAAGACCUUACCAGACUAGCUGAGAGGUGGCGCAUGGCCGCCGUCAGUUCGUACUGUGAAGCAUCCUGUUAAGUCAGGCAACGAGCGAGACCCGCGCCCUCAGUUGCCAGCGGGUCCCUUCGGGGACGCCGGGCACACUGAGGGGACUGCCGGCGCUAAGCCGGAGGAAGGUGCGGGCAACGGCAGGUCCGUAUGCCCCGAAUCCCCCGGGCUACACGCGGGCUACAAUGGCCGGGACAAUGGGUACCGACCCCGAAAGGGGUGGGUAAUCUCCUAAACCCGGUCUAACCUGGGAUCGAGGGCUGCAACUCGCCCUCGUGAACCUGGAAUCCGUAGUAAUCGCGUCUC